ensembl:lncRNA LINC00710 long intergenic non-protein coding RNA 710
AGCAGGGCGCUCUGGGCCUAGCUCAGAGGACAUGCUCCUGAGGCUAGCUAUUUUUCUGCUACUACUCUGGCUAAGAGAGACAUGUAAGGGCUGGAUGUAAACUCCCAGAGGGCACCUCCUGGGCUAGAGAAGAUGCAGCAUGAGCUCAGGAAUUCAACACAACACGAAAUAAUCAACAAAUUCGGGGAAUGUUAAUCUGACCAUCACCAGUUACAAAUGAUGUUUCAUGCUACCUUCUAUUCCUGCCUUCAUAAAUCAAGGAAAAGAAAAAGAGAACAUAUAUCCCCCUACCUUUUGAUUUCCAACAGUCUACUGAGAGGCCAAGAUUAUUUGCAGGGAAAGAAAAGGGGUAAGUUUUAUCAUAUACAGUACAUUUUUAUGCUUACUACUCUCUUAAACUGAAGGAAAACAUCCAAAGAGGGAAAAAGGAGUCUUCCCCAAAGGCUACUUAAAUAAAACCUGAAUAAAUGAAAGCUCUGUAGGUAAUUUAACCCUCUGGAUGGAAUGACACAAUUUCUACACCCUUAAUGAGUAUCACGUGCAUUCCAGUGGGGAGAGAAAUUCCCCAAAUUGGUCCUCUUUAUGCCUUGUUUCCUUCUUGAUGUGCAAUUUCAUCUUUCUGGAGCUCAUAUAAAUCUCUCCCAGCCUAUAUUAUCUUCCCAUUAUGAGCCAGAGGCCAUAAUGACAGCCACCUGUUUUAAUGACAGAGCCAGGAUGGCAUCAUUUUCAGCAGAGUGUUGUUAAUCUGGGUAACCUUUCCCUUCAGGAAUGCCAUCCCCACCCUCUCGCAGCUACG